rnacentral:rRNA from 1 species
AUUGAACGCUGGCGGCAGGCUUAACACAUGCAAGUCGAGCGGGGGAUGUUACUUCGGUAACUGACCUAGCGGCGGACGGGUGAGUAAUGCUUAGGAAUCUGCCUAUUAGUGGGGGACAACAUUCCGAAAGGAAUGCUAAUACCGCAUACGCCCUACGGGGGAAAGCAGGGGAUCUUCGGACCUUGCGCUAAUAGAUGAGCCUAAGUCAGAUUAGCUAGUUGGUGGGGUAAAGGCCUACCAAGGCGACGAUCUGUAGCGGGUCUGAGAGGAUGAUCCGCCACACUGGGACGGAGACACGGCCCAGACUCCUACGGGAGGCAGCAGUGGGGAAUAUUGGACAAUGGGCGGAAGCCUGAUCCAGCCAUGCCGCGUGUGUGAAGAAGGCCUUUUGGUUGUAAAGCACUUUAAGCGAGGAGGAGGCUACCGAGACUAGUACUCUUGGAUAGUGGACGUUACUCGCAGAAUAAGCACCGGCUAACUCUGUGCCAGCCGCCGCCGUAACAC